UUGAAGUUAUUAGAUACUUAAAAGUCAAUGGAUCGAGUAGAAAUAGAAAACAAUGGAGUGCUAGAAUAGAAUAAUUAGAAUAUUUUGUAAAUAUUUAGUUUCCUAAAACUCAUGAUUGUAUUUUGUAUGUAUUCUAUUCUCAUGAAAUGAAAUGACAAGAAAAUCAUUUCUAAUAUGGUAUCAGUUGCCUAGGUUAUUGCUUUCUCCAUUCUUCCUCCUUAUUGGUCGGCAGCCUUCCCCCACCGGCUGUGCCGCCACACUUUCCACCCUCUUUUUCUUCCUUGUCUUGCUCUUUUCAUGGCUUCCUCCACAAAAAUGCAUCCCGCUACUUUGGUUACUAACAUCAAAACAUGUAUACCUAUUCAACUUGAUGAAGAUGGUUCCAACUUCUACACUUGGGUCACCCUCUUUCAACUUCAUUGUUGGGCUAAUCUUGUAGAUUCUCAUAUCAUUCCCGAUGACUCUUCUAAAGCAUCGGUCACCAAAGACUCCGAUUGGCUACAUCUUGAUGAUAUUGUUCGUACAUGGAUUUAUGGUACUAUUAGUCCCUCUCUUCUUAAAUCGAUUGUCCGUCCCGAUCAUAGUGCUUUUGAUGCUUAGACUCGCAUUGAGAACAAUUUUCAAAACAACAAUCGUAUUUUUCAGCUUGAGUCUCAAUUCAAUGAUAUUUCUCUUGCUAAUUUCCCGAAUAUGAAGGCUUAUUGUAAUGAACUUGAGAAUAUUGCUACUUCUUUUAACAAUCUUGGUACUUUUAUCUCCGACAAUCGAUUGGCUCUUCAAGUUCUCCAUGGUUUGACUCGAGACUACCGUACUUUUCGUUCCUUGGUACAACACAUGAGUCUCGUGCCAUCCUUUGAUACUCUUCGAUCUAUGUUAGAAUUGGAAGAACAUUCUCACCACCAAGAUGUCUCUUCAUUUCAUGACCCGACUCUUUUCACUACUUCCAAACCAUUUGUAACACCACGUAAUUUAUUACGUCAAUAUUAUAAAUUUUUUUAAAUAAUUUGAAAAAAAACCAAUUUAAAAUAUUUAUUAUCGACUAAUUGAAUUAGUCUUUAGAUAUAUACAUUUUUUUUAUUUCUUUUAUUUAAGUAGUCAAUGGUUACUAUUAUUGUAAUUUUAAUUAUUGAUAUUAUUAUUAAAAUAAAUCAAAGUUAGUAUGGGCUAGGGUUAUUUUUGGGUCUUAUAGGUAAUAUACACAAGUAGUAUGAGUGGAGUUUUUAAAUUUACACUUCUCCUUCCCUCACAACACCAAACCACCAUCACCACAACCAGUAGCUGCCACCACUUGCAACCGGCGCCACCAACAACCGGCCGCCGCCAGCAGCCACCACCAGCCGGUGGCUGUCCCCCCCCCCCCCCCCCCCCCACGCACCUCUUCUCUCUCCUCCAUUUUUUGUGCCUGGUUCAUAAGAGGGGCGUAAGAACCUCUUUCGACGUGAUUGUUGCGACUUGUUAUCUCUUGCAGUUGCAGGUAAGUACACGCAGUAGCUAACUCUUAAAUGCAUCUUGAAUAUGUUUUCUUUGCGUAACAAUAUUAUAUGGGUUAUGUUGACUAUGAUUUGCUAUUAAACAUUAUAAAGUUAGUGUUUCAAGUAUGGAUCGGUUUGAAGAGAUGGUAGAGAAUGAGUUUUGAUAUCGCGAGAGUGCAAUGUUGGAUAUUAUGAGAUGGAAUGGGAAGGAUUCCUUAUUGAUAAGCUUUGAAUUAUGUUUUAUGAAUGGGAGUGAGUCACUUAUUGAUGAGAUAUUAAGUUGGUUGUUUACUGUGACUCCACUUGAUUGGUACCCCAGUUGGUUUAGUUCCCGGAGGCAUGGAUCAUCUAUAUAUGGUCGUUGUACAGGGGUAUGAUCAUACUUUGCCAUUGGGCGCCGGCAUGGCCGUCACCGUCCCUAGCUGAGGUGUUACCAUGUGAGUCUUGCAAACCCCAAUAUGGUGACCUCUUGUCACAUAAGAGAAUAUAUGAAACCAAAGAAGAGAUAGAAAAUUGUGAAGGCAUUUAGAAGUACAUAGAAUUGAGAAGUAGUUGGAGUUGAUACUUACACAUUGGAAUGUCUCCCUCACCUUCAUUGGUUGAAGUUGAUUGUUAGUUAUAUAUAUAACAUGUUGUUAGUUA